UGCCUAAUACAUGCAAGUCGAACGAACUCUGGUAUUGAUUGGUGCUUGCAUCAUGAUUUACAUUUGAGUGAGUGGCGAACUGGUGAGUAACACGUGGGAAACCUGCCCAGAAGCGGGGGAUAACACCUGGAAACAGAUGCUAAUACCGCAUAACAACUUGGACCGCAUGGUCCGAGUUUGAAAGAUGGCUUCGGCUAUCACUUUUGGAUGGUCCCGCGGCGUAUUAGCUAGAUGGUGGGGUAACGGCUCACCAUGGCAAUGAUACGUAGCCGACCUGAGAGGGUAAUCGGCCACAUUGGGACUGAGACACGGCCCAAACUCCUACGGGAGGCAGCAGUAGGGAAUCUUCCACAAUGGACGAAAGUCUGAUGGAGCAACGCCGCGUGAGUGAAGAAGGGUUUCGGCUCGUAAAACUCUGUUGUUAAAGAAGAACAUAUCUGAGAGUAACUGUUCAGGUAUUGACGGUAUUUAACCAGAAAGCCACGGCUAACUACGUGCCAGCAGCCGCGGUAAUACGUAGGUGGCAAGCGUUGUCCGGAUUUAUUGGGCGUAAAGCGAGCGCAGGCGGUUUUUUAAGUCUGAUGUGAAAGCCUUCGGCUCAACCGAAGAAGUGCAUCGGAAACUGGGAAACUUGAGUGCAGAAGAGGACAGUGGAACUCCAUGUGUAGCGGUGAAAUGCGUAGAUAUAUGGAAGAACACCAGUGGCGAAGGCGGCUGUCUGGUCUGUAACUGACGCUGAGGCUCGAAAGUAUGGGUAGCAAACAGGAUUAGAUACCCUGGUAGUCCAUACCGUAAACGAUGAAUGCUAAGUGUUGGAGGGUUUCCGCCCUUCAGUGCUGCAGCUAACGCAUUAAGCAUUCCGCCUGGGGAGUACGGCCGCAAGGCUGAAACUCAAAGGAAUUGACGGGGGCCCGCACAAGCGGUGGAGCAUGUGGUUUAAUUCGAAGCUACGCGAAGAACCUUACCAGGUCUUGACAUACUAUGCAAAUCUAAGAGAUUAGACGUUCCCUUCGGGGACAUGGAUACAGGUGGUGCAUGGUUGUCGUCAGCUCGUGUCGUGAGAUGUUGGGUUAAGUCCCGCAACGAGCGCAACCCUUAUUAUCAGUUGCCAGCAUUAAGUUGGGCACUCUGGUGAGACUGCCGGUGACAAACCGGAGGAAGGUGGGGAUGACGUCAAAUCAUCAUGCCCCUUAUGACCUGGGCUACACACGUGCUACAAUGGAUGGUACAACGAGUUGCGAACUCGCGAGAGUAAGCUAAUCUCUUAAAGCCAUUCUCAGUUCGGAUUGUAGGCUGCAACUCGCCUACAUGAAGUCGGAAUCGCUAGUAAUCGCGGAUCAGCAUGCCGCGGUGAAUACGUUCCCGGGCCUUGUACACACCGCCCGUCACACCAUGAGAGUUUGUAACACCCAAAGUCGGUGGGGUAACC
rnacentral:rRNA from 1 species